GGUCCAAACGUAUAGUGUAUUUACUCGAAAUUAUUCAUCGAUACUUUCUAAGACGUUUUUAUUUUUUAUUUAUGAUAUAUCAAUAUAAGCAAUCCAAUUUAUUUGAUAAAAAUUUUACGAAGUGUAAUACAUAUGUAGUACAAAUUUCUCAUAAAAAAGAAUUCUACCGACAAUUGUUGAUUAAUGCAUUUAUUGAUACGUACUUAACAGUUCUAAUUAAUCAAGCGCUUAAAAUAAAGGGAAAUGCCUUUUAGAAGUAAAAACGGUGAUUACAUUCUACAAUGUAGACUACAGUCUACAUCGUCCGCAUGCAUAUUGAGGAAAAAAUUGAACUUUGUUCCAGCAAGUUUUAAAAGUCUCCCGUAGGUAGGAAAUUACAACUUUUUUUCUAAAAAAACAUUGAUUGAACUAAACACAUAUAUAUAUCAACGGUACUAAAUAAUUGUCUUAUCAUCGCAGAUUUAUUAAACUAUUAUAAUGUAUAAGCUAGAAAUGUUAUACAUCAUUUGGUCGUUGAAUGAUUUAUUUACGAUAGCCAAGUUGUUCUAUCAGGAUCAACACGAUCUAUUAUCGAUGUUGAGUCAGCACGUCCAUCCAUUAUUAAUUGGGUUACUUUUGAAGCGAUAGCUGGAUUUGUUUUCAUUUGUUGAAGCAGCCAUUCUACAGGUAUCCUAAAAGCAAGAUAUAAUCAACGCAAUCGAAGAUGUUACGAGGUAUUUGUAUAUUUUUAGCGAUUUUUAAAAUCAUUCAUUAAGUGAUAAUGCUGUAUUGUAAUAAUGCUUCAUUCGAGAACUUUGUGAAUCGUAUUAAUUGACGCGGUUUAAAGUUUGAAGUCUGGACGCCAAAAUCUUGAAAUGAAAACCUUGUUCUAUACAGAACUUUUAUUGUUAAUAUUAUCUAUUGCGAAACGAAAAAUCUAUAUGAACGUUGAACGUAUGAAGUAUAUGUGUGUGUGCGUGUAAUUUGAAAAUAAUUGACUAGGGAGUUAUUUGAAAUUUUCUUAGUGUACAUACCCCUGAGGGAAAUAUCGUAGAAGCGUAAAUAAGAUACGUUCGUUUUUAUUAAUAUUCGAAAUAUCAGCAGAACUUUGUCUUUUUCCGAAGCCGUAUGCGGUGGACAUCACUACAGGUUUAAAUCCACGAAUUACCCGCUCGGGUCUCACAGAAUGUUUCACGAAAUGAGAGUAAUUACGGUGUCUAGGUGUCGCAGCGAUCAUUCCGGCGGCGAAAACCAAAAUGAUGAUUAUAGUCGGCCGCAUGGUGUUCUAAUAUUAAAAAUUGUUACGAUUUACCACCUUGCAACAAACAUAUUAAUAUAGAAACUAAUCAUUUUUAUUCAGAAAAAACAAACAGAUACGACAAAGACCUAGAGUAGCAUGUAUUUCUAUAUACUUCUUAAGAAAUCAUUGUAACAUUUUAUAAUUAUGAUAAUACUAUCCAUAUUCGGAUUCUUUUUCGUAUCUUUUCGUAUAAUAAAAUGAUAGAGACGAAACAGUAAUUAUACUGAAUUGGCAUAUACUGUCAAUAAAAGUCAGGUUUCGGUUUAAAUUCAAAAUAUUAUAAUCAUGCUUUCCUUAACGUGAUGGAAAUAAUGGGAUAAUUUCGUCUCCAUUGCUUAUGUUACUCUUACACGACUAUGAAGAAGAUGAACUUUUUACGAGAUCAUAGAAAUUAGAAGAAAUUAGCGGUUUUGUAUAGAUUUACACAGACUAAGAACUUAUAAAAUAUGUAGUAAAUAUCAAUUACUUACAAUUUAGCAACGAAUCUAUCGCAAGACAAAUACAUACGCAUUAUUUAUACUCACGUGGAUAAAUUAACAUUAUUACAUUUUUCUAUUAAAUAUACAAUAGUAGUACAAUUAUUAAUAUAUACUAAAUCAAAUGAGAAUGAAACUAAACUGAGGAUGCGUAAUACAGAUACAUGUGAAUUUUAUGAAAUGAAAGAUGCACUUGUUAUUGAAAGAACUUUACAAUGUCUAAACUUCCACAAAUAUUUAAAUUCAAAAUUUUGAACAGAUUCUUUAAAUCCAUGAUAUUCCAUGAAAGUUGAGAGCAACACAAUUUAAACUAUAUAGAUGAGCAGAGGUGGUCUUGUGACGACACGUAAGCGAGACUGAGCUGGAGAUUCAUCGCUGUUCCUUUUGUAUCAGGCCGCCGAUACCGUCGUUGCAGCGGCCGUUGUAGCCGCCGUCGGCGUCCACUGCGUCAAUGACGUCCUUGCCGCCAAAUACUUCCCUGUUUAUUCAUAUUUUAUAAUAACUACGAUUCUAACGGAUGUAAAAUUAUUUUUUCAGAUUGUAUAAUUUUUCGAUCCGCUUGAAAUAUAUUAUUAGAUACUUAAACAUCGUUUCCGAGUAAUUUAUAGAAACGGUGGAGCUUUCGGCGCUUUCAACGUUCUCCCGGCGGCCGUUCUAGCCGACGAAGCCGCCUACGCUUGUUAAAAUAUGGUGUUUAAGCAAAUAUGUACUGUAAAAGAAGCCAAAUACGUCAUAAUUCCGUACAGCGAUGACAAUUCUUGUAAUUCGUUUUGUUGGUGGCAGUUUAGAUAUAGUUUAAGAUGACUGACGUUGAAGAAACCGUUACAUAAACGACACGCCACCGCCGAUUGCGGCAAAUCUCACCGUCAGCCGCCAAUGCGUAUACAAAUUCCCACUGCAGGUGUUGGCAGUAACGACCCACACAUUCGCGGAAGUAUUAUCGUCGAACCAAUGUAAUCUCCAGGGGUUGUUGAGUACUUAAAGUAUUGCCUCGGUAAAUUAUAAACUCAUAAAGACUAAUGUUGAAGAUUUAUCUAUUGCUACAAAAAUAGAUAAUUCAAUAAACGAGAAUUUUUAUAGUAA